rnacentral:rRNA from 1 species
GGGGAAUAUUGCACAAUGGGCGAAAGCCUGAUGCAGCGACGCCGCGUGAGUGAUGACGGUCUUCGGAUUGUAAAGCUCUGUCUUUUGGGACGAUAUGACGGUACCAAAGGAGGAAGCCACGGCUAACUACGUGCCAGCAGCCGCGGUAAUACGUAGGUGGCAAGCGUUGUCCGGAUUUACUGGGCGUAAAGGAUGUGUAGGCGGAUACUUAAGUGAGAUGUGAAAGCCCCGGGCUCAACCUGGGGACUGCAUUUCAAACUGGGUAUCUAGAGUGCAGGAGAGGAAAGCGGAAUUCCUAGUGUAGCGGUGAAAUGCGUAGAGAUUAGGAAGAACAUCAGUGGCGAAGGCGGCUUUCUGGACUGUAACUGACGCUGAGGCAUGAAAGCGUGGGGAGCAAAC